UACGUAGGGUGCGAGCGUUGUCCGGAAUUAUUGGGCGUAAAGAGCUCGUAGGCGGUUUGUCGCGUCUGCUGUGAAAACCCGGGGCUCAACUCCGGAUCUGCGGUGGGUACGGGGCAGACUAGAGUGAUGUAGGGGAGACUGGAAUUCCUGGUGUAGCGGUGAAAUGCGCAGAUAUCAGGAGGAACACCGAUGGCGAAGGCAGGUCUCUGGGCAUUAACUGACGCUGAGGAGCGAAAGCAUGGGGAGCGAACAGG
rnacentral:rRNA from 1 species